CCCGGUCCCAUUCCGAACCCGGAAGCUAAGGCCUGGCACGGCGAUGGUACUGCACCCGACAGGGUGUGGGAGAGUAGCACGCCGCCGCAC
rnacentral:rRNA from 1 species